AGCUGGGGGGCGGGGGGCAGCAGGACUAUUGGCUGUGCUGCUGGUCUUCUGCCCGACUGGGUUCUCAUCAGGCCUCUGACUUCCUGUAUCAGAGCAGAAAUUAAAGGUGGGAAGGGCAGGCACAUUGCAGUCCCACUGCCUCCGGUUAGCAGAGACCCUGGGCUGCGUCUUAAGGGUUGGGGAAGGACUCCGAUAGUUGAGACUCCUCGACUCGGGUUUCCUGUAGCCUAGCAUCUGGUAGGUGGCCAUCACCUGGGCACUGUGUCACCGACUCAGUGGGUCUGCCUCUGGAUGGGACUCGAAUCGGAAUCAACAGAGAAUAGUAGUCUCGUAGAACAAAAUUUAUUGGCAGCAAAUAAGGAAACCACAGGAAAUCACUUCCAAGGCAUGAUGAGUCCCGGUAACCAAGGCCAGCCGCAGUUUAUUUGGCAGGGAGUGCGAAUGCGUGUAUGUGGGCGUGGAGGUCCCUCGGGGCAUGCGCAGGGGCCUGCAAUCCUGCGCAGGCGCGCUGUGAAAACGUGGCUUCUGCUCUUCCCUGGGUGGGGAUUUGGGUAUUGUCAUGAACUAAAGUUAACCUCUCUUGGCCACUGGCACGUGCACCUUAGUAUUUCUGAAAAGUAACUGUAAGGAAAUUUGAUAGAAAAACAAUUUUACUUUGACCUGGGCACUGAAAGGGAGACAGCCAGCCACCUGCUUUCUCAGCUGCCCCUCUGCUGACCAUGCCUCUGGGCCGUCGGGAAAUCCUGAAUCUUUCCCAGGCGUUAGCGGUGGACAGCAUGAGCUGCCGGUCAGGGACCCGUGCGGUCAGGGCUGGGGCAGUGCUCAGUUCCUGCUCCUAGUCCAUGUUCACGCUUGCGCCACUCUGGUGUCCUCUAAAGCGCUGUCCAUGCUGGGAUCAAGAACUGAAAGGCUUUCAGGAGCAUUUCGAAUUUGAAAGAAAUGGAGCGCGGGGUGUUGUACCCACUGCUCAGUGUCUGCUCCGGCAGCUCCUUGAGGUCCUCUCACUGACGGGCUUAGGAUAGACGAAUGGCUUCAGGCCUGGUCCCUCGCCCUGGUAUCCACGUGGGGAAGUGGUCAUCGGACCCAGGAAGAGUUGUGGGCAGCAUAAGGGGGGUUGCCACACAAGACAUCCAGCUUCUGGCAAAUGGGGAAUCUGUUGCACACCUGGAAGCUCAGAUUGGCAUCCCAACCUGGGUGUUCUGCCGUCGCAGUGCGCCUGGCUGCAGGUUCCCCAUGUCUCCAUCUUUCACUUCAGCGGUGGUCAGGAGGUAGUAGAAACCUGUCCUCUGCUAAUGCCCUCGGUGACCAGCGAAUGUGGCUCCUCAGAUAGUUUCAUGAGGUGGGGGUGAGUCGGGGUCUUUGUGCUCUGCACUUCUUGGGGCAGUCCUACAGGCUGGAGUUGCUCUGUUGUCUCUUGUUAAUGCCCUUUGUGACCUCUGGGCCUCAGGUCCCCAUCAGGAAGUGGCAGGCCUGUCUCCCCAUGCCGGAGUUCCCUGACUGAGGGUCUGGAGGCCCUGGUUGAUCUCAGGGUCUCCUUAUCCGCAGAGAUGCCCCUGAGCAUGCCCAUGGACCUCCUAACUAUGCUAGCCCUGCUAACAAACUAAAGAUGAGAAAAGAGACCAAUGAGAAGAGGAACAAAGAAGAGCAAAUCUAACUGUAGUCAGAGUCCUCUCAGGUCACCAAAAAACUAGCUUCCAAGGUGAAAAAUAGUAAAAAUCCUAGGCCCAGCUAGCCAAGGACUUCUGUAAGUGCCUGGGAUUCUCUAACAAUGACUCCUUAUAAGUUCAGAGCAAGAAAAGGAUCUAU
rnacentral:lncRNA from 1 species